CGAGGAAUCUGCAGGCCCUUGGUCUUGGGCCUCCUGCCUCUGGAACUCAGAUCAUUUCUGUUGUUGUUAGGCCUCCUCGGGCGUGUGGCGUUUCGGUUUUUAUAGCCUGACAGGAUGAGGACAGGAGGCCUCACUUCCAACCAUCCCUGGUGAAGCGUGGCCUUCUCAUCCAGACCCUGCCGGGGACCAGCCUCCGCUGCCAAGGGCCACAGCCUUGCAGGAUGCAGAGUAGCGACCUGGGCCUCAGCCCGGGGACCCCCCUUUCCCGCUGGGCCGGCACGGCCUUCCUAGCCUACAGCCCACACUGGCCUCAGAGUGCUCCAAACACAGCCGCCACUUGGGCCUCCUGCCCCAGGGCCUUUUCUCUGCCUCCCAAACCCACAGACUCACCUAGCUCUGUGGCCAAAGCACUCUCCCGAGCAGCUCACCCAGCCUCAGCCCCCGGGGCCUCAGUCACCUGCACACCCACAGCAGACCUCACUUGGGGGGCACAGGGCCCUGCUUUCCCCAGAAGCCUGGCUCAAGCAUCAGACACCGUCUGACCAGUGCUCCGCUGCCGCAGCACAGCUGUCUUCAUGGUCAGGAUGCCCGGGUGUAGAGGGGAGGAAGCGGGAUUCCAGCACUUGGAGCCAGCCAUCAGCAGAGGGGUGACACAUCCUAGGGGAGUUGGUCAGGGAGCGUGUCGUGGUCUCCUCAUGGUUAGGGCUGUGUGCAGCCCUCCAUGCCUACCUGGGAGGUGGCCACUGUAGGACUGAGCUCCCCCAAGGCCCCUGGACCCCACCUCACCCCCCAGCCAUGUAGCUCUGGAGGCCCCCGGGGCACAGGGCCAGCACAGCCUGCCCUGUCCACACCUGGGCCGGGCCAGGAAGGAGGGGCGCUGAAGGGUCAAGGCCCACAGCUGCUUUGUGCUGUGCGUGAGGAAGCAUGUUCUAGACCCACAUGGCCCCUCUCCGGACUCGUGCACUUGAAAAGGCGGCCACGCCGGGAUUGGAGCCCCCAGAGAGUCCAAGGGUAGCGGAGGCCUGCAGGGAGCUGUGGUGAUCUUCAGGUGGCCGUGGACUCCUGGCAGCUGAGAGUUCAGCUCUGGCAAAGGCUUGCUUAUUCAUCCACUCAGCCACAGCCAGCCAGUGCCAGGCAUUAUACUGGCUGCUGGGACACAGCAGUGGGAUUUAGCCGGGUGAGGCAGGCGCACACCUGCCAUCCCAGCUACUCAGGAGGCUGCAGUCAGAGGCCAGCGUGGGCGACUUAGCAAGACCCCAUCUCAAAGUAAAAACUUAACCAAAGAGCUGGGGCUGUAGCUCAGUGCCCCUGGGUUCAAUCCCCAGCACCACAAGAACAAGGCAGAACUUACAAACUUCCCUGGCUUCUGCUGCAGGGGGGAGGAGAACAAGAUGAAGCGGUGACUGGCUCCGCGGUGGUGAUCAGGGGCAGAUGGAGCAUGGAGAGGAGUGUUUGAGGUGCACUCUGACGCGGUGGGAGGAGGCCUCCCCUGGUGCCAGACCGGUGACCGGCCCUGAAGAGUGUCAGGAAGCCCCGGGGCUGGAGCACCCCGUGAGCCAGAGGGACGGCGGGGGGAGGCAGGAUGGCGGCAGCCAUGCCGUGACCUGGGAGUGUCUCAGGAGAUGCUGUCGGGGUCGAGUGGUGGCCCCAAGAGCCUGUGCUGGAGUCCUAUCCGAGGAGCCUACCAGUGUGUGAAAUUGCAAGUGCAGUCACCCCAGGGAGCCUCGAGAUGCGCUCAGCCGAUCAUCCAACACAAGGGCUUUUGCAGUGACAUGCAGAGGACAGACGUGGGGAAAGAGGGGAGACCAGGAAAGCCAGAGGCAAAGACUGCAGUGGCCAGGGGUCAGGGGCUGGGGAAGGCAGGGGGGUCGGGACGGGGCCCUGCCGCCACUCCAUUUCAGCCUUGCCUUGCAGAACUGUGCGAGAAGACAGCUCUGCUGUCAUCUGUGACCACCACCCUGGGAAACUGACACAGAUGGGCCUCCGGGAGGCCUGGGCUGGGAGGGACACGGCCCCUGGUCAGAGGGCCCCUCCUCCUGCUGUGUGCGAAGUCCAGGGAUAUCAGGCACAGACAGCAGCUGGGAAUGAGCUGCUGGGUCCCAGGCUGCGGCUGGAUGGUGCCAGGUCCUGGGGACCCCAGGCUCUUCCUGUCCUGCCCAAAGAAUUGGCAGGGACAGCAGAUGAAUGGGUGGACACAACUUUCAUUUAAGGUAGAGAAAGAAAGGGAAAGUGCAGAAGAGAACAGCAAGAAGAGAUACGGACCGGGUGCAGGAUGGCCACUGCAAAAACAGGAAGCAUCGGGACAGCAGGGUCUCAGAGGCAGCGGUCAGUGGCCACUGUCUUUCGGAUCCUCCCCAGACUCUGACUGGGAGGAAGCUGCUCUGCCCACGCAGCCUGGCUGUGAUGCUACACAUCACAUCCUGUUGAUCAGUCUCCAGUCAGGCUUGGGUUACAUCCGAAACCUAUUUUCAGCCAGCCUGCAGUGCCCUAGUCUCCUGCCUCAGGGCACAGGCCCCAAAGUCCUGAAAGCAGGGACGGGUAGGCGGAUGGCUGGCUGGGGAAGGAAGCCCUGGACAGUGGGGCCCAGGCCUUUGGACUUGGUGAGCCAAGUGGGGAAGGGCCCUGCGCCCCAGGGCCAGGGGAGUCCGCUCUUGUGAGGGCCCAAGAGAUGGUGUCAUCGUAGGACGGGAGCAGGCCCUGAAAACCCAAGCACAGCCUUCAGGAAAGCAGAGGAGAGAGGCCUGAGCCAGGAAUGAGUGACGGACUCCAGGCCCGCCUUCCCGGCCUCCAUGCUGGGCUGGGCUGUCUUCAUCCACCUGUGGAACACAAUUGAAAACAGACUCCCUCCCACUGCUUGGAAAUUCCCAGAGAGACACCCCUGGGCCCCAAAGGGACAGAGGGCAGCAGGCAGGAUAUACAUGGCGUGA
ensembl:lncRNA